rnacentral:rRNA from 1 species
CCUACGGGUGGCUGCAGUGGGGAAUAUUGGACAAUGGGCGAAAGCCUGAUCCAGCCAUGCCGCGUGUGUGAAGAAGGCCUUCGGGUUGUAAAGCACUUUCAGUGGGGAAGAAAGCCUUGGGGCUAAUACCCUCGAGGAAGGACAUCACCCACAGAAGAAGCACCGGCUAACUCCGUGCCAGCAGCCGCGGUAAUACGGAGGGUGCGAGCGUUAAUCGGAAUUACUGGGCGUAAAGCGCGCGUAGGCGGUCUGAUAAGCCGGUUGUGAAAGCCCCGGGCUCAACCUGGGAACGGCAUCCGGAACUGCCAGGCUAGAGUGCAGGAGAGGAAGGUAGAAUUCCCGGUGUAGCGGUGAAAUGCGUAGAGAUCGGGAGGAAUACCAGUGGCGAAGGCGGUCUUCUGGACUGACACUGACGCUGAGGUGCGAAAGCGUGGGUAGCAAACAGGAUUAGAUACCCUAGUAGUC